rnacentral:rRNA from 1 species
GUGGGGAAUAUUGGACAAUGGGGGGAACCCUGAUCCAGCCAUGCCGCGUGUGUGAAGAAGGCCUUUUGGUUGUAAAGCACUUUAAGCGAGGAGGAGGCUACCGAGAUUAAUACUCUUGGAUAGUGGACGUUACUCGCAGAAUAAGCACCGGCUAACUCUGUGCCAGCAGCCGCGGUAAUACAGAGGGUGCAAGCGUUAAUCGGAUUUACUGGGCGUAAAGCGCGCGUAGGUGGCCAAUUAAGUCAAAUGUGAAAUCCCCGAGCUUAACUUGGGAAUUGCAUUCGGUACUGGUUGGCUAGAGUAUGGGAGAGGAUGGUAGAAUUCCAGGUGUAGCGGUGAAAUGCGUAGAGAUCUGGAGGAAUACCGAUGGCGAAGGCAGCCAUCUGGCCUAAUACUGACACUGAGGCGCGAAAGCAUGGGGAGCAAACAGGAUUAGAAACCCGAGUAGUCC